UAUUUUUAAUGUAUAGGGUCGCAACGAAAUAGCAUUUCUGGUUUACACCUGGUCUCACGCGAUAAUAGAAUAAAAAAAAAGAUGUACAAGAAUCACGAUUCGUCGCAAACGAUAGUGAUCAAGGUACUCCAAUCAUUGCAGCGUAAUACGACGGUAGUUUAUCCUUCGGUAAAAAACAUCGUUACGUCAAUCGGAAAUAAACAUGAAGUUGUUACAAGAAACUAUCGUCGAGCCAUCGUGAACAUCCGAUUGUUCCAGCACGGAAUUCCUUCCGCGCAUUAUCGCGGAAUGUGUCGUUGGACAUUGUCAAUCGACAACAGAUACGUUCCGCUACACUUUUGCACGACCCUUUCCUUCUUGUUUUUUCACUGGAGUCCUUUUUACCGGUGAGUUUCUUGUCCCGAGAGAAUGGUUGAAAUUCUUAUCAUCGAGCGCGACACAUCGUGUGCAUGCCUAUAAUUACAAGGACGUUGCGUGGUCUUGAACGACGUUGUGUUUUGCAUGUUAACGCGGCGAGUGUAACGAUGAAUUCACGAAAGUAAAGCAAAAAUUAUCAAUGUUUUAUGGGAAAACAUAGCACGAAACUUUUUAACUUUUAGAUUCAUUCCUAUAGCACCAAAGUCAAAACGUAACGCAACAAACAAUUUUAAUAUAUAUAAUGUUGAUCGCUGAUAUUAUUCUUAAAAAUUGAAACAACGAUUGAACGAUAAUUUGUUUUAUCGAAAGAGGUGUUUAAAAAUGAUCAUGAAGCAGUACGAAGCUUAAAUAAAUAAAUGAAUAAAUAAAAUAUAUUCGUGGACUAAUGUUAGUAUAAAGUUUAUAUAAAUAAAUAAAUAAAUAAAAAAUUUUCAAGAACGAGUGUUAGCUCGAAGUUUAAAUAAUUAAGAGAAGAAAAAUAAUUUGUACCGGUGGAAUGAAUCGAAUGUAUGUUAUUUCUGAUGCUUGUAAACGAGUACCUCGAAAUAGCAAAAGAAUUUAUAUAUGCCUGUUCGUCGAAAGUCCACGAAGAUCUUGAUAAAGAUACAAAAAUGCGCUGUCCACUCUUUAAUCAGGGAUAUUCCUGGAAAUAAUCAAGGCUCCCGAUUGCAAAUUACUGGCUGGCAAAAAAGAGAGCGAUCUAGGGCUGUCUAAGAUUAGAGAGAUUCUUCGUACCCAAGAGAAAGGAGCAAAAUAUUUUUCGAAAAAUGAAGACGGUGCGUUCUUUUCGAUCGGGAAUAUAUCAAUAGAAAGUGACAAUACAUCUAACAGAUCACAAACAAAAUAAAGGCAUCGAUGAAAGACGUGAUGCAGCGUGUAAGGUGCAUUUUUCUCAAGAAGUUCAAGAACAGAAAAUGAAUAAAACGAUGAAGUAAAAAUCCAAUGGAAAGACUUUCGUCGCCCGUUUUUAAAAUUAACAUUACUUAAAAGAUAAAAUCGGUCACUUUGAUAGAAUAAUAAUACGUAAAUGUAACUUACAGAAUAAUAAAUCUGAAAUAUAUAUUCGAGUUAAAAGUGACUCAGCCUUCGCUGUACAUAGCACCGCUUUUAGUUGAGAUAUUUAAGGACACUUCUCAACUUGCUAAAUUAAUUCUAGAUGAGCGAUGUGAAUUUUGCUAACAAAGUACAAUUAUUAUAAUCCUCAAAUAUUCCUUUGGAAGGAAGGUGGAAAAUCUACAAUGGAAUUUUUGUAUGAAUUAUUUUGGACUAUAAGUUUAUUGGUGGUAGAAAAGCUUCUUAGGCUUAUAAACAUAUAAAGAUAUUAACGUGUAAAACUAUAAAUAACUAGAAGAGAUAAAAACAAAGAUAUCCUGAACAUGGGAUGAGCAUAAGAAGAAAUUCUGUGAAUAAUAGUAAUAUUAUUGAAUUUAAAAUCAAUCCUGCACUGAAAUCUCUCGAUGAUAAUAAAUAAGUGCCGAGAAAAUGCAGUAUCGGGGUAUUUAUAAAACAUAAUACGUACCUGAGUUAUUUGCGCCCUGGUGGCAGAAAUAGGAAUUAAAAUUUUAAAUCACAUCAUCUCACGCGCUGUCCAAGGUAGCAACAUGAAUAGCAACUGCAGAGAAUUCGUGAAAAAUAUGAAAAUUCAACGUACAUCAGCAUAUAAGUGCUUCAGAAUGGUGGAUAUCGAAAUAAAUUUUAAGAAAAUUCGAAUGGUAUCCGGGUACUGAUAGAAUAUAAUACGUUCCUGAUCCUGGAUACGUAACAAGCGCACUCUGGUGGUAUGUUUUUGAACUAAAAUUUAAAGUUACACCAUUUCAUGCGGGAUCGUAUUUUGAGUAAAAUAUUAUGCAGAAAGAUUUUAAAAGUUGUCAUUGUCUUUUUGAAGUGUAGAAGAUAGUAGUUAAGUGCAGAAGUGUUACGAUAAACAAUUAUAUUAUUAGACAUAUUCAUAUUACAAUUGUAAGAUAUUAGCGCC